AUACACCAGCCUGAUGAGGAGUUACCAGGCACGUUAACACCAGACAUGCCGCUCAUAUGGUCCACACUCAUAGGAGAGAACCUGAAGACAAGAAAGCGCAUCAUCUGUGACUAGGUAUUCAGAAAUUAACACAUCAUGUUAAAGGUGAAGUAUGUAACUUUUAUGAUGUCAAAAUACAUUCUACUAUCCCAGUUUAUUGUUCAUUGACAACUAUAAGUAAACCAUUCGUGGGUUUACCUUCCCCAAAUGUUUAAACACUGAACCCAUCCCUUUCUAGCUCAACCUAUAGCAUGAGUUUGGGGUGUGGCUACUGUAGUAGGCUGUUCAGCCAGGAGAAUAUGAACAUCUAUGGUAGUUGUGUACAGAGGAAAAGAAAUGUAUCUUCUCCAAAAUUUGAAGGCUUGCUAAAAGACAUAGAGACCGAGAAUAGAAUAAAAUCAGAGUGAACAUUGGUGUUGUAUUUACAAGUUGGUGGACUUUGAGGGAAUUUUUGGGAUCCGAUUAAGACGCCAAACUUGCCAAGUUGCUUCUCGACAGGUAACCUACACUAAAGGUAUUGCCACACAAGUUAGCUCAUUUCUGUCGAGCUUCAGAUAAGUUAGUAAGAUACUCUGAAUAUGUGUCGUUACGCUUAAUAUUUACCCGAAGCACCAUCCUACCUCGUGCUGGAUCCUUCACACACCCAGCUGCCGUUCAAUCCGGUGAUGUUAUCAGACGAACCGAUUCCUCUGCCACGCUUUGUCCAGUGUGUUUAUGUUAUAGUGGUCUUCUUAAUACAACGCUAAAUGUUUAUUAC